UACGAAGGGGGCUAGCGUUGCUCGGAAUUACUGGGCGUAAAGCGCGCGCAGGCGGUCUUCCAAGUCAGUGGUGAAAGCCUGGAGCUCAACUCCAGAACUGCCAUUGAAACUGUUAGACUUGAGUACGAGAGAGGUGAGUGGAAUUCCCAGUGUAGAGGUGAAAUUCGUAGAUAUUGGGAAGAACACCAGUGGCGAAGGCGGCUCACUGGCUCGUAACUGACGCUGAGGCGCGAAAGCUAGGGGAGCGAACAGG
rnacentral:rRNA from 1 species